AUCUGCUGCCUGUCUUUGCUCCUGAAGUGCAUCACCAUUUGAUGGGAAGCUCUGUAAACCUAUAUUUAGUGCCUGAGAAACACCCUCUUCUCUCUUUACCCUCAGAAGUGAAAUAUCAUCCAUUUUCAACUAAUCCAACAUCAAAGGCCCUGUGUGUUAGGUGUAUGUUAGGAAACAAUAUGUUUCCAAUUAUUUGAAGAAAGUGAAACAUGCU
rnacentral:lncRNA from 1 species